rnacentral:lncRNA from 1 species
GUUCGACGCGGGUUCCCCUGAAAUAUAAACGUCUCCCGCGGCCACGAAGAUGUCAGACGCGGCUUGUAUGUGCAGGACUGACGAUGCGAAACGCCCGCAAAGCAAAGCGAACAACCUAGCUGAGGAAAAAAAAGACAGAACGUGGGUAGUAAGCCAUCAUUCGCCGUUGUAUCACACUGUCAGGUGCGAAGAGUAGGGGUUUUCAUAUGCAUGCUGCAACACUUAUGGUGUGGAAAGUCCAGGCAUCCAUGAGUGCGAAUAGCAGGCAAUGCUCCGUGUGUCUGGAUGACAAAGUAGCCACAGCAUGUGAGGAAGUCCCCAGAAAAGAAGCAACGUCAGGGGUGUGUAAAAAGACGCCAUGUCCCCGAUGUCACACUCUGCUCUCAGCAUAUCUGCAAGGAACC